AGACCGAUAGCAAACAAGUACCGUGAGGGAAGAUUGAAAAGAACUUUGAAGAGAGAGUUCAAUAGUACGUGAAACUGUGUGGUGGUAAACGGAGGGGUUCUCGAAGUCUCUGUGGGGAACUCAACCUUGGUGCCGAGCAGUCAGGGUGUAUCCGAUCAGCAAUGACGGUGCGCUCUGUCUGGCCUGGCUCUCGGGUGCAUUUCCCCCGCAGUUUACGGCAGGAACCGUUUGGCUCGGACCGAAGGCCUCGUGUGAAGUUGUCGCUUCUGGUGGCAGCCUCGGGUGUCCUGGCUCUGAGCCCGACGGGUACGUGAGAGGACUCGUAUAGCGAGCAACGCUCUGUUGCGGUUCUCAUCUCUCUGCCGAGUAGGUCGGUGGCCCCUCCGACCCGUCUUGAAACACGGAC
rnacentral:rRNA from 1 species